rnacentral:rRNA from 1 species
UACGUAGGGGGCAAGCGUUGUCCGGAUUUAUUGGGCGUAAAGAGCGUGUAGGCGGCUUGGUAGGUCUGGCGUCAAAACCUGAGGCUCAACCUCAGAUCGCGUGGGAAACCUCCUAGCUAGAGUCCGGAAGAGGAGAACGGAAUUCCCAGUGUAGCGGUGAAAUGCGCAGAUAUUGGGAAGAACACCAGUGGCGAAGGCGGUUCUCUGGGACGGUACUGACGCUGAGACGCGAAAGCGUGGGGAGCGAACAGG